rnacentral:rRNA from 1 species
GACGAACGCUGGCGGCGUGCUUAACACAUGCAAGUCGAACGCUGAAGCUCAGCUUUUGUUGGGUGGAUGAGUGGCGAACGGGUGAGUAACACGUGAGUAACCUGCCUCCUUCUUUGGGAUAACGCCCGGAAACGGGUGCUAAUACUGGAUAUUCACUGGUCUUCGCAUGGGGGUUGGUGGAAAGGGUUUUUCUGGUGGGGGAUGGGCUCGCGGCCUAUCAGCUUGUUGGUGGGGUGAUGGCCUACCAAGGCUUUGACGGGUAGCCGGCCUGAGAGGGUGACCGGUCACAUUGGGACUGAGAUACGGCCCAGACUCCUACGGGAGGCAGCAGUGGGGAAUAUUGCACAAUGGGCGCAAGCCUGAUGCAGCGACGCCGCGUGAGGGAUGGAGGCCUUCGGGUUGUGAACCUCUUUCGCUCAUGGUCAAGCCGCAACAAUGGUUGUGGUGAGGGUAGUGGGUAAAGAAGCGCCGGCUAACUAC